rnacentral:lncRNA from 1 species
AAAUCCAAAAAGGGGGCUGGAAAAUCACGCUAGACCAAGACACUCUACAAAAAUCUGAUCCGCCAUUUUCAGCAGACGAAAACGACCCCCCUCCCCUGAUGUUCAUCUUCUUCGUAUCCCCCGACCCCCUGAAACCAACGACCACCUAACGCCUAUGUGCUAAAAACCUGGACCUUCUCUUCAGAAGCUGCAAUGGUAGAAAUAAACAUACGACCCAAUGCCAGCCCUCCUCAUCAUCAAGAACACCCAGAUACAAACACACACAAAGAUAGAUAUAGGAACGGAUAGAAGCAACUGAGAUCCAAAUUUUGUCAUUCAAAAACUUCAAUUGAGAUCGGUUCCCAAAAGUAGUUGAAGUCGAAAAUUUGUUGCUGUUGAUUGUUGAACUCGUUGCUGAGUUUAGUCCGAUUUGGUUUCAGUCAUUGUUGAAGAGUCGAGUUUGUUUCGAAGAGGUUUGGUCGAGUUUCGCCAGGAUUCCAGUGAAGCAUUUUGUUUGUCGGUCUUCAAAGCAGUCUCGUGAAGUUUCCCGUUCAUUAAUUUUGAAAGAAGCAUUUAAGCAACUGUAAAGGUUCAUUCUCUUAUACUCUUAAACAAUUUUGUACCUUCGAUUAGCCUUAAAAGUUUUUUCGUUGAGUUACCUGCUUAACUGUGUUGAUGUGUGGUGAAGGAAACAUGCUGGACCUGUUAACUUAGAUAUUUUAUGGGUUAAUUUGUUGAUCAUGAAUGAGGACCCUAAUGAAAAUGUUUUCAAGGUUGACGGGUCAGAGUCCACAUUUGGUUUGCUGUUUUCAUGUCAUCUCUGUAUCUCCUAUUUCAUUUCUAUUUUUGCCAUAAUGAAUUUGUCAAUUAAACCUUAUGUUGCAUUUCUUGGUUAAUUUGUUUGGAAUCUGAUUGUCUGCCUCAAUAACAUUUUAGUAUAAGUGGCAUUUCUUUACAUGUAGUUAGACACGUAAUUUUAAAAUAGUGGAUCUUAUGUGAGAAAUUGUAAAUAUUUUUCUAGUACUUAGUGAUAAAAUUGAUCUCGUAGCAAUCCUUCAUAUGUAAUCCUACAUUUUUUCCACAAUCAUUUCGACCGUAGUUUACUUUAGGCGCGUUUAAUUAAAUAAAUUAUCAUAGCUACGGGUACGGUUCCCAUGACGUAGUUGUGAGGCCUAAUUUCUAAAAAUCCAGGAGUGCAUUUCAUAUGACCCGAUUCUAAUUGCAACAAAGUUAAAUAGAAUAUGUCGUGAACCAAGGGUGCAUUUCAUGUGGCGUGGCUUGCGAUAAUGUUUUAAAUAACCUUGAUUUGGGAUUCUAAAUCGGUGACUUGGGACACCAUAAAUUAUCCCAAGUGGCGACUCUGAAUUUUAAUUAAAUAAUCCCGUUUCGAUUGUCACUUUAAAUUGGAAAAAACUCCCUUAUACCCUUUUAGGGUGUAGGAAAAAGGAGGUGUGACAGUUCUGGUGACUCUGUUGGGGACAAAAACCCAGAAUUUCUGGUUUAGGGUUCAAGAAUUCGAGCGUAGAAUAAUUGUUAUAGUUGGCUUUAUUUAUUAUCUGGUUUUAUUUACAUGCUUGGGCCUAAUGUGCUAAAUGUUGCUUUUUACUGCUUUGAUAUGGUUGAACUGUAUAUAAAUUGUUGCAAAACUCUCCUCUCUUUGAGUCUUCUAAAUCAUUUGGGAAGUGUGCACUUCGUGUGACUUCUUUUCUGUUAGAGUCAUAUCCUAAUUUUAGAACGAGGUUCGGACAAGUUGCAAAGCCGGUGAAGCUUCUGUAUUCCCUGUACGCUGCCCCCCCCCGGCUCGAGCUGUCCGCUCGGGUAAGCCAGGUCUAGAACAAAUAAACCCAGAUUUUUAAACUUAGAAUAACAUAGCCUCAUGCUGGAUCCAUAGUAGGAACGUUUGUUGCUUCACGUGCAUUUGACUUAGGGGACUCAACACAGGGGUUGGGUCCGUCUAGGACAGGUGUACCCAAAAUAACAGACCAUCUUGAUGCAUCCUAUGUGCUACAUGCUGCAUUUCUUCAAGGGUAAAAGGGUCAUUUAGCGGACUAAUGAUAGUUGAGGGCAAAAGAAAAAAAAGUGAGAAAGAAAAGAAGUUGAAGUAUAAAAAUGAAGCAAGUGGGGCCCAGUUGUAUUUUUUUUGCACACCUUUUCAAAAAAAAAACAAAAAAAAUUGAAAAUGAAAAAAAAAUCCAAAAAAAAAGAGUUUGCACUUUCCCCGUCAUUUUUUUUUUUAAAAAAGGAAAAACUCAGGAAAAAGAAAAGAAAAUCCAAAAAGAGUUUUUCAUCAUUUUUUUAAAAAAAAGACAAUAUAUAUAUUUCUCUAAAUUAUUUAUUUUUUUUAAUUCCCGCCCGUAUCCAAACUGCCGGAACUACGCGAACCUGAUUCUCGUCUCUCGGGGCGGGAUACAUAGGUAACCCACAUAGGGUCCGAUCUUCCUAGUAACUCUUAGGUUCUUGGCUUUGUGGGGUCUUAGCCAAAUUUUGCACUCCUGACCACCUUUUGGCCACAUAAGUCAUUUUGCAAAAAUAGUCUCAACCAUGUCUUGCAUGUGUCUAGUAGGGAAUGUUAUUGUCUCACGUGGUGUUGGUUUCAGUUUUCUCAUAAAGGUGUGGAUCCACUUACCGGAGUUUGAGCAUGACAGAUACCCCAAGACCACUAUAUUCACGAGCUGCCUGAAGAGUUUUUUUUUUUGAGUCUAUUAUUCAUUUCAGUCACUAGUUGAUGCUAGAGUGUGUCAUAGUCUAGUUAAGUUUUGUCGAGUCUUUU